rnacentral:lncRNA from 1 species
CUAUACUGAAUUCAUGAGGAUUAUGGUUGGCGAUGGAUUGGGAUUGUAUCUUUCAUGAAGAGAAUGAUUUAUCUUCUUUCGUGCAAAUCUAUCAUUGGAUCAUCCACUGAUUGCUUUGAGAUAUGUGCUAGUUGAUGAAUAAUAGAGUUGGAACUAUUUUGAGAUUUGUGUGAUGUAUGAUCCAAUGAUAGAUUUAUAUGAAAGAAAAUAACUUCUUUCACAUGAACCAAUGUCCGAGCAAAAAGGAUACAAUCAUCCAC